rnacentral:rRNA from 1 species
AAACUUUCAACAACGGAUCUCUUGGUUCCGGCAUCGAUGAAGAACGCAGCGAAAUGCGAUAAGUAGUGUGAAUUGCAGAAUUCCGUGAAUCAUCGAAUCUUUGAACGCACAUUGCGCCCUCUGGUAUUCCGGAGGGCAUGCCUGUCCGAGCGUCAUUG